rnacentral:rRNA from 1 species
AGCGAACGCUGGCGGCAGGCCUAACACAUGCAAGUCGAACGAAGUCUUCGGACUUAGUGGCGGACGGGUGAGUAACACGUGGGAACGUGCCCUUUGGUACGGAAUAACUCAGGGAAACUUGAGCUAAUACCGUAUAUGCCCUUCGGGGGAAAGAUUUAUCGCCAUUGGAGCGGCCCGCGUCUGAUUAGCUAGUUGGUGGGGUAAAGGCUCACCAAGGCGACGAUCAGUAGCUGGUCUGAGAGGAUGAUCAGCCACAUUGGGACUGAGACACGGCCCAAACUCCUACGGGAGGCAGCAGUGGGGAAUCUUGCGCAAUGGGCGAAAGCCUGACGCAGCCAUGCCGCGUGAAUGAUGAAGGUCUUAGGAUUGUAAAAUUCUUUCACCGGGGACGAUAAUGACGGUACCCGGACAAGAAGCCCCGGCUAACUUCGUGCCAGCCGCCGCCGUAACAC